UGAGCAAGUGAGUGAGUGAGUGAGUGAGUGGUGAGUGAAUGGGUGAGUGAAUAAGUGAAUGAGUGAGUGAGGGAGGGAAUGAAUGAGUGAGUGAAUGAGUGAGUGAGGGAAUGAAUGAAUGAGUGAGUGAGCGAGUGAGUGAACCAGUGGCCCAUGUCUCCCCUGAGACAGUGGAGGGAUAUGUCGAGUACAUGCGUAUUGGAUGCUGCUCCAAACACCUGACUUGCCAGGAGCAGCCAGCUGAGUGGAGGGCAUGAUUCACUGCGAAGGGGACAAGGAGAGCGAAAGUCAUGUCUUGUGGGGUGGAGGGAUCACAUGCAGCAUCCAGACCUAGUGGAGACCUGUCUUUUGUUUCUUUUUUCUUUCCUUUUUAACCAGACAGGGGAUCAAACUCAUAGCAAACACUCUGCCUCUGAGCUAUAUCCCCAGCCCUGGCUUUGGGGAGCUGCCACAGGACGACAAGGCCCUAACCACUUGGAAGUCUUGCACUAUCCCCUUGAGAUGUGGGUUCUGAAAGGGCCUCUGAUGGGCUUCAAAUGGUCCAGAGACCCUUCCUUGCCCAAAAAUCGUCAGGUGCCUGUCCUAACAGUCCUGUGAGGACCUUACCUAAUGACAGGCUGAAGAGUGGACCUCAGAGCCAAACAUGGGUUCUGAUUUUGCAAGAAAAGGAGAAAAAUGCUGGGCAGAUCAAAAUAACUUGUGUCCUCUACCCACUGGAAAGUUCCACAGUGACAAAAGAUGAGUGUCUGAAUCAAGAUCAGGGGUUUCACAAAGCCAGUUCUGUAGGACCUCAGUUUCCUCAUCUGCAGAAUGGGAAUAAAGCAAGAGCCCAGGUGCAGAUCACAUGGCAUGGUGUACUCUUUCCUGACCCUUCCUGAGCAACAGCCUGGAAGCACAGCCUGGGAGUGUAGUGAGUACCCUGUCUUCAUCCAGGGAGCUUGGGCUUGCCCUUCUCUGCCUUGAACUCACCCAGCAGCUGUAGCCUGCCAGCCUCCCAGGGUGUGACACAGCUGUAGGAAAUGGGUUACCAGUCAGGUUUAGGACACUGAUCUGGGAGGCUCUGAGGACCAAAGUGCUAUAUCUGCCUGCUGCCGUGACAACCCUCAGCUGAGAAGUGGCCAUUUUUCUGUCCUGGAAUCUGAGUGACUGAGAGUUACAAAGGGUCAGUGUCCCCUCUUGAUUACUGAGAACUGAGCUGGUAGCUCUGGGUGGAAGACACCAGUAACACAGCAGAUAACAGUGUCCCUUGAGAGUAAACCAGGUGCCUUCUGGUCCCCAGUCCCUGGCACAGCAUUGGAUUAUCGCAUGGCCCUGGCCAUGCCUAAUACUGGUUGGGCCUUUGUGUGAUAACACACCCAGCUCUGCUCUCCAUUGAUCACCACACAUGGAGGCCAAGGUGCCCUCUCAUGACCAUGCUCUGAGCAGGACACACACACACACACACACACACACACACACACACACACACACACACACACACACAUGCUCCAGUGCUCCCAAGUAAUAGCCCAGACACCUUAAUUAAGCCCUCAAGCUUCCUUGCGUCCUGGUCACUGCUGAGCUAACCAGCUUUCUGCCACCAUACUACAGUCUCGUUCCAGCACUGGCAGGUCCCUAACCAUAGCAUGAUUUCUACCGAUUGCCUCAUGCUCUCACAUCUUUCUGGAAUAUUCCAAUGAUAUUAUAUCCACCGCCUUAUUGCCCAGCUCGAAUGUUCCACUUUCUAUAAAGACAGCCCUAAACCAUCGUCCAAAACAUUACUUUCUCCUCUGCUUCCACACAUGCCCUGUGCAUCAUAGCAUCUCCUAUGCUCCCUUAGAUUCAUACCAGGAGCUUAACAGGAUAAGGCUUUUGUCUGCUUUCAUCACCAGGCUCCCAGCCUGCAGCAGGGUAGCCUAGCAAGCAGAGUUAUUCACUGGAGAGAGAGAGGCCUGGAAGAGGUGUUUGCAGGCCUAGUACUGACCUCCUUAUGAACUCUACCUACAGGAAGUGGCAGAGACUGAUGCCCUCCAAUUUCUCCUUCAAAACCUUCUUUAAUACAGAACGCUAUUCUGAGGCUGGAAGUUUCCUCAAAACCCAGGCAAGCUGCACACCCAUUCCCAGGACAGUUACAAAGCACAGCUGAUACCUUUGGGGUGCCUGUCUUCCUGGUUGUUCGAAAGCAAAAGUAGUGUUGGGGUCUGUGAAACCUGACGCCGGGUUCCUUGCACAAAGCAGUUGUGCACAGAGCCUGUAGAUUUCCUUUCCUGAGUCUUCAGACAGCUCUCUGACCUACGCAAGGUCAAGACUCACUAUGACUGAAGCCUUGAGCACACAAAGUGAGGAGGGAAGAAUGAGAAGAGCCUGACAAGCAUGAAGUUCUGGGUUCAAAUCCCACCACCACAGAGAGAGGAGGAACCAGAGAGGGACUCUAGGAGGAGGGUAAAGUGCAUAGCUGUUGUGACUCUCACUUUCCUCAUCUUUAAGAUGGAGAGGAAUCCAUGGAAAGAUAGCUUAAUGGUGUGUGUGCCCUUCCUUCUAAGGAGGAAUAGUUAGGUUUUCUCUAUUAAAAAAAAAACAACAACAACAACCACAAGUCAACUACAACCCACUCAUCUUGAUUUACAAGAGGAAGAUGUUGGAAAGAUACAUCAGGGUGUGAGAAUUCUUUCUAUUCUUCCCGAGAGCCUAAGUUGCAUUCACAGCACCCAUACCCAGUGGCUCAACUGCCUGUCACUCCAGCUCCAGUAGUUCCAACGACCUGUUCUGGCUUCCCCAUGCAGCUUGACUGAAGGCUAGGCUGGAUACCAUGCAAGGAAACCUGACCAGCAAACCAGAACCCUGAGGGCUCCAGGCUCACCACUUACUACGUGACUCCACAUCCUAACAGGCAAGUUAAGGCGAACCUCUGCUUCCCAGCUUGUAAAUUGGGUAAAUUGAAAGAGCUUCCAGCUGCACAGGCCAACACGGUCUUUCUUUCCUGCGGCUCAACAGAUUCUCCCUCAAAGCUGUGAAGGUGCGCGGGCUCGCCGGCGGAGUAAGUGGGACCACGUCUCGGAUUGGGUGGAUUUGAGUGGUUGAAAUUUGCUGAAAUACCGCCAUCUGGUGGUCGCGAGGCAACACUGCAGGUCCAGGACUCUCAGGAAAACAAUGGGGCGACAAGGGGUGCCCAGCCCUGCUCAGAAAUGCGACCGGCUCCCCAUUGUCUGCGGGGUAAAGUCCGAAAGCCAAGCCUGGAAUUCAAGCACCUCCACAAUCGGCCCCGCCUCACCUAUCCGGCCUUAUCUCGGCUCCGACCUCCUGCCCUGGCCAGGCCCAGCUCCUCCCUGAACCUCCAAGCUGGGUCCAGCCUCUCACUAGGGCCAGUCUCGUGCUCCAUACUGACAUCAGCCCAGCUUCUAGGUCAGCUCUUCCAGGAAGCCUGCCUGGUCCAUCGCCGCAUCAAGGUUCUCUCCUUCCCUCCCACCAACUCUUAACAGAGUCGGUUUCAAUACUGAUGCUGCGUGUUGGAUGCUGGAGUCAAACUCUGGAAUGCUGUGUGUUGGAUGCUGGAGCCAAACCCAGCCCAUGGAGUGAUUGAGGCUGGGAGCCGAUCUAGACUGCUCUGCUCCCAGCCACCAGCAACAAAGACAGAGGUGGUGGCAUCCAAUUCGCAGGCCUGCUAUGACAAUCACAUAAUGGCCACAGUAGAAGUGACCAGGAUGGCUAGAUAAAACACAGGACACCCAAUUGAUCUGGAACCUCAGAUUAGAAUACUGUUGAAUCUAGACACCGUGAUGCAUGCCUAUAUUCCCAGCAUUUAGGAGGUGGAGGCAGAAAGAUCAAGGUUGUCCUCGGCUACCUGCAGCUUGAAGCCAGCAAUACCAGACUGUUUCAAGCCCCCACCCCUAAGAAAAGGAGGGGGAAACAACUUCCCUUUUUUGUUUAUUUGUUUUGUUUUAGUAUAUUUCAAAAAUUACAAAGUGAUUGCGUUCAUGGCUCACAUUAAGACUUGGUGUCGAUAGGCAGUGGUGGAACACGCCUUUAAUCCCAGCAUUCAGGAGGCAGAAGCAGGCGGACCUCAGAGUAGCUCCAGGACACUAAAGGCUACACAGAGAAACCUUGUCUGGAAAAAUCAAAUUAAAAAAAAAAAUUAAAAAAAAGGCUUAGCGUCCAUUUCCAGCUGUGUUUAUGAUGUAAUAGACAGAUGGCCUUCAUACUGCUAGAAGUGUUUGUUUUAGUCUAUCAAAAAUUGUUUGCCUACCAAGGACUAAGAUUCCACAGAUCUCCCCUACCUGGUAAACCUUUUGUUUAUGCAAAGCACGCUUCAUAGCCUGCAGCGCAGCCCUUUCCUUCAUUGUCUUUGCAGUGGACUCUUUCAAAACUAACCAAUAGCAAAAGUCUGUAAGCUCAGACUCUAGCCAAUGGGAGAGAGACACAGUCAUCACCUGUUGUAAAGUUCCUACCCGACCUGACAUGCUUGCAAGCCUGCUGGGUCUUGGCACACCCUUUUUGCAAAAAGAAUUGCAUUGCCAAGCUACUUUCACUUCAUUUGUGAGCCACCUAGAUUGUUUUCUGUUUGUUUCUAACACUGCUCUGGAAUUCUGAAAUGGAGUGUGUGUGUGAGUGUGUGUGUGUGUGUGUGUG
rnacentral:lncRNA from 1 species